UGUAAAUAUUAAAAUUCUUUGUACAAUCUAUAUUCUACUUACAGCUAGCUCUGUAAAUAUUAAUAUUCUUUGUACAAUCUAUAUUCUACAUGGAAACCAUUGAUUGUUAAAACAAACCAAACUGUGGGAAAGUAGCACUAAGAUGACUGUUAAGAGAAUAAAAAUGAAAAAGAGUUGUAUUAUGGAUAGAAUACAAUAGCAAUGCAAAAAGAAGGAUUAUAUUCUUGAUAUCUGUCCGAAGGCGUAUAUAUCAACUGGAUUUUAUAACCCUAUAACUUAAUCAAUCAGAAAGGGUAUAUUGGGAACCACUUAUUUUUAGAAGAAAAACACAUAUUACCCCCCACCCCCCACACACUGUUCAUUUUCAAAUAUUCCUUAAAAACUGAUAUUUAUAAAAUCCAUUAGUUCUCUUUCCUCGGUUUCUGCAGUCCUCUCGACAUAAUGGUAUUAAAUUCCUUAUUUAUCCAAGAUGAAGAGAACCUAAAACUAGACUUAUAUCAAGAAACUAGUGAGAGAAAAAGUUGCUUAUAUUAAAUUAUGAUUGUGAAAAAUUCAGGACUAAGUGCAGCCCACCUUCCCCUAACCUAAAAUUUUUUACAAUGAGACAAAAAAAUAAUUUUGACAAAUAUUUUUUUAGAUCACACUUUUUCUGAUACAACAGAUUUCAAAUAUGUGAAUAACUAUUGCACAUACAGUCUACAUUUUGAUAGAAAACACUUCACAUCGCUCUUUUAAGAUUUUUCAUCCACAUUUUUAACUUAACAGUGCCAAUAAACUCAGUAAUGUUUUUGAAUUAUUUAUAAUAAAACGGAAUAAGUUUGUUUCUAAUUGUUAGAUAAGUUCUACAGAAGAUGAUUUAUUGUUUAGUUCAAGUGUAUAAUAUUCCCUUCCCUCUCGGAUAGAUAGAGGAUAGAGGACGUAUAGAUAGAGGAUGAGAGGAUGGGUGGUAGGAGGAGCGUAACCUUGAUCCAUUCUUCUCUCAACCAUGGGAGCUGUUGCUUCAAGAACGCUAUCUGUAGCUGGUCCAACGGAUCUGUCUGACGUAAUUUUUAGAAUAGUAGAUCAAUCUCGAUACACAGAGGUUCUUGAUCUACUAUAUGCUAACUUCCAUACUGAUGAACCAAUGUCUAGAGCACUCAAUAUAUUUGAUGGAAAACACAGAAUUCCUGAAGCAGAUGAAUAUACUCUGAUGGCGUUGAAGG